CCUGGGGCUGAAGCCGGUCCCAAGGGUAUGGCUGUUCGCCAUUUAAAGAGGUACGCGAGCUGGGUUUAGAACGUCGUGAGACAGUUCGGUCCCUAUCUGCCGUGGGCGUUGGAGAUUUGAGAGGAGCUGCUCCUAGUACGAGAGGACCGGAGUGGACGAACCUCUGGUGUUCCGGUUGUCACGCCAGUGGCAUUGCCGGGUAGCUACGUUCGGACGGGAUAACCGCUGAAAGCAUCUAAGCGGGAAGCCUCCCUCAAGAUGAGAUCUCCCUGGGAACUUGAUUCCCCUGAAGGGCCGUUGAAGACCACAACGUUGAUAGGCUGGGUGUGGAAGCGUUGUAAGGCGUGAAGCUAACCAGUACUAAUUGCCCGUGAGGCUUGACUAUAUAACACCAAAGCAGUUACU
rnacentral:rRNA from 1 species